AUUGAACGCUGGCGGCAGGCCUAACACAUGCAAGUCGAACGGUAACAGGAAGAAGCUUGCUUCUUUGCUGACGAGUGGCGGACGGAUGAGUAAUGUCUGGGAAACUGCCUGAUGGAGGGGGAUAACUACUGGAAACGGUAGCUAAUACCGCAUAACGUCGCAAAACCAAAAAGGGGGACCUUCGGGCGUCUUGCCAUCGGAUGCGCCCAGAUGGGAUUAGCAAGUAGGUGGGGUAACGGCUCACCUAGGCGACGAUCCCUAGCUGGUCUGAGAGGAUGACCAGCCACACUGGAACUGCGACACGGUCCAGACUCCUACGGGAGGCAGCAGUGGGGAAUAUUGCACAAUGGGCGCAAGCCUGAUGCAGCCAUGCCGCGUGUAUGAAGAAGGCCUUCGGGUUGUAAAGUACUUUCAGCGGGGAGGAAGGGAGUAAAGUUAAUACCUGUGCUCAUUGACGUUACCCGCAGAAGAAGCACCGGCUAACUCCGUG
rnacentral:rRNA from 1 species